AGGAUGUGGGAUUGCACAGACAACCAGGAUGUUGGCUUAGAAGCAGCCACUCAUUUAAAGAGUGCGUAAUAGCUCACUGGUCGAGUGAUCCUGCGCCGAAAAUUUCCGGGGCUAAAACGUACUACCGAAGCUACGGCAUCAUUUAUGAUGGGUAGGGGAGCUUCGUAUGCAGGCUGAAGCAUGACCGUAAGGACAUGUGGACAGUAUACGAGUGAGAAUGUUGGCAUGAGUAGCGAGACGUGGGUGAGAAUCCCACGGGCCGUAAACCCAAGGUUUCCAGGGGAAGGUUCGUCCGCCCUGGGUUAGUCGGGACCUAAGCCGAGGCCGAAAGGCGUAGGUGAUGGACAACAGGUUGAUAUUCCUGUACCGCCAAUAAGCGUUUGAGAGAUGGAGUGACACAGUAGGAUAAGCUAACCGUACUGUUGGUUAUGUACGGCUAAGCAUUGAGGCAGUCUAAAUAGGCAAAUCCGUUUAGACAAUGCUAGGAUGUGAUGGGGAAGCCCUUCGGGGCGAAGUAGCUGAUUUCACACUGUCAAGAAAAGCUUCUAUCGAGUUUAAAGGCGCCCGUACCGUAAACCGACACAGGUGGGUGAGGAGAGUAUCCUAAGGCCAGCGAGAGAACUAUUGUUAAGGAACUCGGCAAAAUGACCCCGUAACUUAGGGAGAAGGGGUGCCUGUCUAUGACAGGCCGCAGAGAAUAGGCCCAAGCGACUGUUUACCAAAAACACAGGUUUCUGCUAAGUCGCAAGACGAUGUAUAGGAGCUGACGCCUGCCCGGUGCUGGAAGGUUAAGGGGAUCUGUUAGAGCAAUCGAAGCAGUGAACUUAAGCCCCAGUAAACGGCGGCCGUAACUAUAACGGUCCUAAGGUAGCGAAAUUCCUUGUCGGGUAAGUUCCGACCCGCACGAAAGGCGUAACGAUUUGGGCACUGUCUCAACAAUAGACUCGGUGAAAUUGUAAUCCCGGUGAAGAUGCCGGGUACCUGCGACAGGACGGAAAGACCCCAUGGAGCUUUACUGUAGCUUGACGUUGGGUCUUGGUACUACAUGUACAGGAUAGGUGGGAGACUAUGAAGCAUGGACGCCAGUCUGUGUGGAGUCAUCCUUGGGAUACCACCCUUGUAGUACUGGGAUCCUAACCAUAGGCCUUGAAUCAGGUCUUGGAACACCGUCAGGUGGGCAGUUUGACUGGGGCGGUCGCCUCCUAAAAAGUAACGGAGGCGCUCAAAGGUUUCCUCAGCACGGUCGGAAAUCGUGCGAAGAGUGUAAAGGCAAAAGGAAGCUUGAUUGCAAGACAUACAGGUCGAGCAAGGACGAAAGUCGGACUUAGUGAUCCGGUGGUUCCGCAUGGAAGGGCCAUCGCUCAACGGAUAAAAGCUACCCUGGGGAUAACAGGCUGAUCUCCCCCAAGAGUCCACAUCGACGGGGAGGUUUGGCACCUCGAUGUCGGCUCAUCACAUCCUGGGGCUGUAGUAGGUCCCAAGGGUUGGGCUGUUCGCCCAUUAAAGUGGUACGCGAGCUGGGUUCAGAACGUCGUGAGACAGUUCGGUCCCUAUCCGUCGCAGGCGUAGGAAAUUUGAGAAGACCUGUCCUUAGUACGAGAGGACCGGGAUGGACGUACCUCUGGUGUACCAGUUGUUCUGCCAAGGGCAUGGCUGGGUAGCUAUGUACGGAAUGGAUAAGCGCUGAAAGCAUCUAAGCGCGAAGCCAACUUCAAGAUAAGAUUUCCCACCGUAAGGGUAAGACCCCAGGAAGACUACCUGGUUGAUAGGUCGAAGGUGUAAGUGCAGUAAUGUAUUUAGCUUAUCGAUACUAAUAGGUCGAGGACUUGACCAA
rnacentral:rRNA from 1 species